AUGAAAUGCAUGAAUUGUUGCGAUUUGGAAUGCAUUGAGAUAAAGAUUUCCAGCUUGUUCUGUACACUCUACUUGGUUGAAAUGCAUGAGUUGCUUGAGAUUUUAACAGGUCAGGUUGUGGUAGGUGCAAGGUACAUGCUGCCAAUUUUUUUUUUAGGUUGAGAGCAUCUCACAAGUCACGGAGGACGCACUUCCUACUCCUCCUCUUGGGACGUCCGGCGUAG
rnacentral:lncRNA from 1 species